GGGCCCGCACAAGCGGUGGAGCAUGUGGUUUAAUUCGAAGCAACGCGAAGAACCUUACCUACUCUUGACAUCCAGAAAACUUAGCAGAGAUGCUUUGGUGCCUUCGGGAAUUCUGAGACAGGUGCUGCAUGGUUGUCGUCAGCUCGUGCCGUGAGGUGUCAGGUUAAGUCCUAUAACGAGCGCAACCCCCAUCGUUAGUUGCCAACGAGUAAUGUCGGGAACUCUAACGAAACUGCCGGUGCAAACCGUGAGGAAGGUGGGGAUGACGUCAAAUCAUCACGGCCCUUACGUCCUGGGCUACACACGUGCUACAAUGGUCGGUACAGAGAGCAGCCACUACGCGAGUAGGAGCAAAUCUCAAAAAACCUGCCUCAGUUCGGAUAGGAGUCUGCAACUCGACUCCUUGAAGUUGGAAUUGCUAGUAAUCGUAGAUC
rnacentral:rRNA from 1 species